UUUUUUCUUGUGUUUCUGUCCUCUAUGUUGGCGAGCACUGUCAAGGCUUUUGGCUUCUGGCUCAGGCAUACUUUCUCAGUAUACUUAUACUUGGGAGUGGAAUGCGAAAAAUGAAGGUUAGCCUACAUGAGCCUAAGGAGAACGCGGAAAAAUUCGCAGUUAACUCUGACAUGCGGAAAAGGCAAGUUUUUUUGGCAUGGGCUCUGGCUCAGGUAACCCAGAGCCGUUGAAAAACAGAGUUGCGACACUCCCAUAGACCUCCAUAGGAACUUUGGAAUGCGGAAGUAACGCGUGUCGUGGAGCAGCCGAUAGUUCCAAACACUGAUAGUUCCAGCACUGAACCCCAUUCAUUUGCAGUGACUCUGAAGUUCGCUCGCUGGUCUGUCCAGCAGCAACAGGCUUGACUCAACUCCAGACCCGGUCUCCUCUGGGCUCUGACACAGGCUGUUUCCACCUGAAGUUAACAUGCAUUUUGGUCGAUCGAAUCAUAAGUGGACGACGGAGACACAUACAUGUUUACACCUGGUGUUUUAAUCCAUCUGUUUUGUCCUCUUUCAACCACUUCUGUCCUGAUUUCUUUGAGGGGGUGGGUAAAUGUAUGGGUUUUUACAGAUCUUUCAAUCUAAUGGACAAAAUAAGCUUAAGCAGUUUACAUAUGAACGCACCCAGAGAUGACAGGAAAACAUAUUGAGAGCAUCAGUGUUCGCUUCUGCUCUGACAGCCGUGAGACCAGCCGAAUGCUGUGAGUGUGUGUUAGAAAUCAGGAAUGGUGAGAGAACAUUGUGCUUGGUACGUUUUUCAUCUUUGAACCAAACUUUGGUCUUCAGCCAACAAAGUUUAAAUCCUGUCUGACUCGAGUGCUUCCCAUAAUGUUUACACAUUAGGUCAGUAGAUGGAGAGUAGAGUAAACAUGAGCGUUUACACUACGAAAGCAGUCCGGUCGAAUGCAUUUGAGUCUACUUCUGGAAGUGGUCGAAAGUGGAUAAACUUAAACCGUUUUAGACCCUGUUUACACCUGUAUUUAAUGUUGUCCACUUGUGAUCCGAUCAGCCAAAACGCAUCUUAAUACCAGGUGGAAACAGGCCCACAGUCUGCUUCUGGCAGUGGAAUGCUCUCACCCAAAAAUUCAAGUAUAUAGCAUUACUAUAGUGUGGAGUUUGAAUGCUUUUGUUAUCAAUGUAUGGAUAAGCAUUUGACUGAUUCUCGAUUCACCAGCAGGUCUCCAGAUCAUCCUACAGCUGCGCUGGAAGAAUGUAAUGGAUAUUGUGAACACUUAUAUUCCUUUUCUGGCCUGCUUUCUGCCAUCUUUCUCUCCCUGUAGGAAGUCAAAUGAGUUUCUUUGAAGACAGAACAUUCAAGGAAAACUUACCUACCCUCUCCCUGGAUAUAAUAUAUAAUUAAAUGUUUUGUUGAAUGCAAUUGUUUGCCUUGUAUAUUUUUCACUGUUGACCAAACUUCUUUCUUGACUUAAACUGAGCAGCUUCAUUCAUUGAUA